ensembl:lncRNA
CAGAUAAGUAAGCUGACAACCUAAGGACUCAGAGCCUGUAAAGAAUACAGUUGGUGCUGGCACCCAGGCUGAAUGGCUCCACACCAAUAAAAAUGGAGGACUCCCGUGCUCUGGAAACCUGUGAACUGAUACCCUACCUUCUUUUAUCUUCACAACUUACUGAAGAAAGAGAGAACCAGAGCACCAAGUCCGCUUAUGCUGUCUCCCUCCUCCUGUGCCAGCUGCCAGCCCACUAGGAACCAGGAUGCUACUUCUCAGUAUCCACACCACUGCCAAGAAGUGGUGUGCAGCAAGUGGGGUAAGCUUAAAAUGCAUCCUUUUCAGGCUGCAGCCUCUGUGCCCUGGAUGCAAAGGGCAAUUUACUAUUCCAUCUGAGCAGUGAGUCCAAGAGAAAGAGUCUCUCUUUUUAGCAGGAAAACUAUGUGUCUCACUUGUUCCAUGAGUGACAGAGCCAGAAGUUAAAGAAUUCAACAGAACCACAAGACUGAGAAGAGCCAAGCUUGAUCUCACCCCCAAAGCCUCUGUGCUCCCAUCGUGAGAUAUGCACAGCUCCUUUUUACCAAUCAGCGAAUCUGCCUCUCAAGUUGUGGAAAUGGGGCUAAUGUGCCAAACUGGGCACCCAGCACAGUGCUGGACGCCUCAAGUCACUCAUUUAGUCCCUAACUAUGCCUGCCUGCCUCUUGUUUGUUUGUUUGCUUGCUUAUUUUAAUCUCUGCCAAAAAUGCUAUCCUUGUCCCAGAACCUGUAUGCUGGGGAACUGAAGACAAAUGUGGAGAGCCCUGUGGCCAGCUGUGAGUCUAGAUUUGUACCCACCAUCACCAGAAACCAGCUCUGUCAUCCUCAGUGUUGGUGUCUCCAGCUAGAUGGUAAAGCUCUUCCCUCUUCUAUAUCACUGGCACAGAGAAGGAAUUCAACAGAUAUUCAUGCAUCUCUAAACAAAUAUGAAGCUGGAAGAUCCUGACUCUUGUUAACCAAUCUUUCCAGUACAUAUUCUUUGCCAAAGAAUGCCAGAUUCGGUGGGAAGUGUCUGUGCCUGUGUAUCUAGCUGGUGCACUCAUCAGAGAGUCAGGAAGCACCAACUCAAUCAGUGAACCUGGUAUCGCUAACCACUAUGUUCAGGUAAUACAUACUCGGGUGCUGUGAUCUGCUCAGAACAGACUUUAAAACUCAACGUUUGUGUAUGAGGUGACCCCAAAGACUAGCUGAGACCUCACUGUGGAGAACAGAAAGAUUCUUGAGAGCAGGGAAAGUCUGCUCAGCCCACCGUCUUCACAGGUUGCCUUUGUGUCUGGACGUCUCUUCCGUCCUGUCUCACAACCCUGGGAGCCAACUCAGAUGAUGGGAAGGAGAAUGCAGAACAGUGCCAUAGACCUUCCUAUCAAAGCCGGCUGCUGAGGUCAGUUACCCUGGUGGAAGCUAUUCAGCCCUUCUGAGAAGCACGGGCACAACCAAAAUGGAUCUGCCUCGGUCAACUGUCAGAAAGAAGUGCACCGGAGCCGAGAUUUAAUUCCUCACGCAGGUCAAAUCUCUAGAAUCUUUUCCAAAGCCAAUAGCGGAGCAUAGAACAGAACAAAGCCCUGGUCGGUGGAACUUUUUCCUUACCUAGGGUCCUCCAUGACCUCUGA